CAAAUUCUAAGCCACCAUUUUCCAAAGAAUCCUUCUACAUCAUCUAAUAUCUCAUGAGGCAUUGUAGAGUCUUGAUUAUUUGCAUGAACUUCAAUAGAAAUAUCAGACUUUUCUCUCAUUUCUUCAAUAAGUUCUUCUUCAAUAUUUGUUUUUAA
ensembl:ncRNA Y26D4A.24 ncRNA